rnacentral:rRNA from 1 species
UACGGGAGGCAGCAGUGGGGAAUAUUGCACAAUGGGCGCAAGCCUGAUGCAGCCAUGCCGCGUGUAUGAAGAAGGCUUUCGGGUUGUAAAGUACUUUCAGUCGUGAGGAAGGUGUUAAGGUUAAUAACCUUAGCAAUUGACGUUAGCGACAGAAGAAGCACCGGCUAACUCCGUGCCAGCAGCCGCGGUAAUACGGAGGGUGCGAGCGUUAAUCGGAAUUACUGGGCGUAAAGGGCACGCAGGCGGUUAAUUAAGUUGGAUGUGAAAUCCCCGGGCUUAACCUGGGAAUGGCAUUCAAGACUGGUUAGCUAGAGUCUUGUAGAGGGGGUAGAAUUCCAUGUGUAGCGGUGAAAUGCGUAGAGAUGUGGAGGAAUACCGGUGGCGAAGGCGGCCCCUGGGACAAAGACUGACGCUCAUGUGCGAAAGCGUGGGGAGCAAACAGGAUUAGAUACC